CUUUGAGCUGAUGUGAAGUCAGAACACCCGCCGAAUUUAAGCAUAUUAAUAAGCGGAGGAAAAGAAACUAACCAGGAUUUCCUUAGUAGUGGCGAAUGAACAGGAACCUGACCAAUCUGAAAAUCCUUGCCUUUCAGGCACAGGAAUUGUGGUCUACAUAUUAGUUUCCCGGAAUUGUAGCUAGGUCUAAAUCAUUUUGAAAUAAUGUGUCACAGAGGGUUAUAACCCCGUGAGGCCUGGAGACAAGACUUACGGAGCUAUCUUGUGAGUCAUGUUGCUUGGGACUGCAGCAUAAAUGGGUGGUAGAGUCCAUCCAAGUCUAAAUAUUAUGGUGAGACCGAUAGCGAACAAGUACCGUGAGGGAAAGGUGAAAAGAACUUUGAAAAGAAUGUGAAAUAGUACGUGAAAUCGUUAGAGGAAAGCGAAUGGCUUCUCUUAAGGACCUGGCUUUGGUGCUGCCUAUAGUGAGUUCAAUUUCUUCGGAUCUUGCGACUCUCGCUGGCUCGACCUUUGUGAGGAUGGUUUAGAGUGUCUCAUUCUUUAUAGCUGGUCUGUCUGACGCUUUACUCACCGAGUGCUGUGUUUGGCUUUCUUGAUAUACUGGGUGUCUAUCUCCUACCUGAGGUCCUUUAACAGUUGUCAUCCGACCCGUCUUGAAACACGGACCAAGGAGUCUAACAUGCAUGCGAGUAUUUAGGUGUCAAACCUCAAUGCGUAGUGAAAACAAAAAUAUGAUAACUACUGUUUACAGUUCCUUAUCGGCUAGCUCCGGCGAUUGCUUGAGCAUGUAUGCUGGGACCCGAAAGAUGGUGAACUAUGCUUGUGCAGGAUGAAUCCAGGGGAAACCCUGGUGGAAGUCCGUAGCGAUACUGACGUGCAAAUCGUUCGUCUGACAUGAGUAUAGGGGCGAAAGACUAAUCGAACCAUCUAGUAGCUGGUUCCCUCCGAAGUUUCCCUCAGGAUAGCUGGAACUCGAAGGAGUCAUGUGAGGUAAAGCGAAUGAUUGGGGGAUUUGGGAGUGCAUCACUCUCUGCCCACUCUCAAACUUUAAAUGUGCAUGAAAGACUAAUUUCUUAACUGAAUUAGUCUAUUGGAUCUGGAGUUCUUAGUGGGCCAUUUUUGGUAAGCAGAACUGGCGAUGCGGGAUGCUCCGGAAGCUGGGUUAAGGUGCCUAAAUGUUCGCUCAUUCAGAUACCAUGAAAGGUGUUGGUUGAUUUAGACAGCAGGACGGUGGUCAUGGAAGUUGAAAUCCGCUAAGGAGUGUGUAACAACUCACCUGCCGAAUCAAGUAGCCCUGAAAAUGGAUGGCGCUCAAGCGAUCUACCGAUACUCAGCCAUUGGCUCUAUACAGAGGAGUCAAUGAGUAGGAGGGCGUGGAGGUAGCGUAGAAGACAUUUGCGUGAGCUUUGUUGAAGCUACCUCUAGUGCAGAUCUUGGUGUUAGUAGCAAAUAUUCAAAUGGAAACUUUGAAGGCCGAAGUGGAGAAAGGUUUCACGUGAAGUUUAAUGCGACGUGAGUGACUCAGUCCUAAUCCAAACCUUAACUGGGAAACGGAGGUAUCUUACCUCCCUAUGGAGAAAGGGGAAUUGGUUAAAAUUCCAAUAGUAACUCAAGGUGUUGAGCGGCGACGCAAUUAGAAACUGGUGACGCCAAAGGCAACCCCGGGAAGAGUUCUCUUUUCUUUUUGACAUCUCUCACAGCGUAUGGAAUGGGUUUGUCCCGAGAAAAACGUUGUGAAGUGGCAUAGCAGUUGACUUUCUCAACUGUCCGAUGCGUUGUCGAUGGCCCGUGAAAAGCCGGUGGAUCAUAUGCACCAAAGGUUAGCUGUACUCAUAACCGCAUCAGGUCUCCAAGGUGAAUAGCCUCUGGUCGAUGAGAUAAUGUAGGUAAGGGAAGUCGGCAAAUUAGGUCUGUAACUUCGGGAAAAAGACUGGCUGGUAGGGCUGGGUGUUUGAGGCUCUUUGUUGAAGCAUGGGUAUUUGAUUGACUUUGCUGGUCUGCUCUCGGGCGGACUGGCGAGGACUUUCGAGAACCUGCGUGAAUUCGAAGAGAUGACUUCGGUCUGUCUCGGCACAAUUAACAGCUAACUAUCAACUGGCGCGGACAAGGAGAAUCCGACUGUUUAAUUAAAACAAAGCAUUCUGAUGGUCGGAAACGAUGUUGACAGAAUGUGAUUUCUGCCCAGUGCUCUGAAUGUCAAAGUGAUGAAAUUCAACCAAGCGCGGGUAAACGGCGGGAGUAACUAUGACUCUCUUAAGGUAGCCAAAUGCCUCGUCAUCUAAUUAGUGACGCGCAUGAAUGGAUUAACGAGAUUCUCACUGUCCCUAUCUACUACUCAGUGAAACCACAGCCAAGGGAACGGGCUUGGGUGUAACGGCGGGGAAAGAAGACCCUGUUGAGCUUGACUCUAGUCUGACUUUGUGAAAUGACAUGAGAGGUGCAGAAUAAAUGGGAGAGCAAUCGUCCGUGAGAUACCAUUACUCUCAUCGUUGUUUUACUUAUUUGGUUAGCAAAGAACUGGUCUUAAUCGGCUUGAUUCUAGUACAAGUAGCUUCUGCUAUGACUUUGGUCAAUGACAUUGUCAGGUGGGGAGUUUGGCUGGGGCGGCACAUCUGUUAAACGAUAACACAGGUGUCCCAAGAUCAGCUCAGUAAGAACAGAAAUCUUACGUAGAGCAUAAGGGUAAAAGCUGAUUUGACCUUGAUGGUCAGUAACCAUCAGGGCUGUGAAAGCAUGGCCUAGCGAGCCUUUAUGUGUUCGGACUGUGAACCUAGAGGUGUCAGAAAAGUUACCACAGGGAUAACUGGCUUGUGGCAGCCAAGCGUUCAUAGCGACGUUGCUUUUUGAUUCUUCGAUGUCGGCUCUUCCUAUCCCUAAGUUGCAUAAGGCUUAAACGGUUAGAUUGUUCACCUACCAACAGGGAACGUGAGCUGGGUUUAGACCGUCGCGAGACAGGUUAGUUUUAUCCUACUGUUACGUUUUUGUUCUGCUAGUACCGCACCUCAGUACGAGAGGAACAAGUGUGGCACGUAACCGGUUAAUGCCGUUGUUCGAAAGAACAAUGCGGCGAAGCUGCCACGUGUGGGAUAACAGCUGAACGCCUCUAAGCUGGAAACCCUACUUUGACGAACAAUAUUAGGUCACAAGUCACUAUGUGUACAAAUAACCAGGUUACUGGUAUACCUUUUACUCUUUAAAUAGUGAUGCGCGAUCUGAAUCCUUUGUAGACGACUUAACACG
rnacentral:rRNA from 1 species